CUCGAACUGGCUCUGUAGACCAGGCUGGCCUCCAACUCACAGAGAUCCACCUGCCUCCACAGUACUGGAAUUCAAGGUAUUCAUGCAACCGCAUCACAGGCGACUCUAAGCGAGCUUGCUCUUUAAGGCCUGGACUCUAACACCCAGGGACUCUGCAGCUCUUCCGAGAGUUCUGAGGCGUUCUCUCUCGGCGUAUAGAAUGUCAGCCACAAAAGGAAACGAUCCAAGAACACAGAGGAUACAGAUGGGCAUUUGGGCAGAGCACGGAGGCAUACUUACUGAUUGAGGAAGGCAAACAGGUACCUCAUCACUAUAAGGACCGACCUGGGCAAGGUCAGGAGGAGUUUGCGGAUGUGGAGCGCCCUCUCAUAGAGGUUAUCUAUUCCUGAAGACAGAAGACGAUAAGGUUGGAGAAGGGUCUCUUGAUGUGACCCCCAAUGACCUCAAACUGAAAAUCCACAGGCCUUUGCUUCACAAGUGCUGGGGUAACAGGGCUACUGCUGGAUUCUACUCUGUCCCGAGCCGCUGAUGCCACGCCACAGUUUUCCCUCAAGGUUGCUUCCUACUCGUCAAUGGCAGCCUCAUCCAGUCUCGAGGCCCCAUAGGAUCAGGACAGAAGUCAGGAGUAGGCAGUUUGCCUCCUACAACAACCUGAGCUGGGACCUGGGAGCCACGCUGGGUGCAGAGGAAGAAGGAAACACUUAAAGUGAGGAGAUCUGAGGAGAUCGGCAAGUCCCUGAGAACCUAAGUUACAACGUUUACCACACCCAUGGAGGCAAUGCAUUAUACAGACAGCCUGGCCCUGGAGAUGGCCCAUGUACUUGUGAGACGUGCUACGUAAAGCUGCGUUUGGAAGUCUGUAUUACGUAUAUCAGUACUAUGUGAAGACGUGGGGAACUCCUGGAAAGAGUUACCAUUCUUUCUGUGUAGAGGACCGGCGGAUGUUCUUAGUACAUUUUAUAAUUUCCAGCGGUGACCACCGUCAUCACAUGAUAAAAGCUGGCUGUAAAAAGCGUGGAUUGCCUACUUGACUGGUCUGAGGAAUUGCUGACUUUAAGGCAUAGCAGCAGUGUCCGGGUUACCUCACACGUUAACAUACAACACGAUCAUGUUAAUCACACGCGAAAUGUUUCUCAGUGGUGUCCACGAUCCUCUGGACAGUAGGAUUAUGAGGGAUUUUAAGUUUCUUGAGUGCAAGAAUCAAGUCUCCGAGUCACAAGAAGACUUUGAAUAUUAAAGACAAGCCAUCAGUUUGAUUCAAAGGCCGAACGUUUAUAGUAUCGGGUAAAAGCGUGCGAGCUGGAUGAGCCAAGUUGGAUCCCUGAUCGGAGUUAAAAGGUUCAAAGUCUGCAUCCAGCAGUGAGGAUCUGCAAUCCCAUCAUGCUAUGGGGAGAUGGGAGGCUGAGACAGGAGAAUUGUCCCAAAGCUUGCAGAAGAGUGGGGCCUGGAAUAUAGAGCAAAAAAACAACUAGAGAGAUCCUUCUUUGCCAGGGGAGGAGAGAGCCAGCUUCUGAAAGCCAUCCUUCA
rnacentral:lncRNA from 1 species